CUACGGGACGCAGCAGUGGGGAAUUUUGCGCAAUGGGGGAAACCCUGACGCAGCAACGCCGCGUGAAGGAUGAAGGCCUUUGGGUCGUAAACUUCUGUCAGUGGGAAAGAAAUACUCGUAAGAGUGAUGACGGUACCCACAAAGGAAGCACCGGCUAACUCCGUGCCAGCAGCCGCGGUAAUACGGAGGGUGCAAGCGUUGUUCGGAAUUAUUGGGCGUAAAGAGCAUGUAGGCGGACUGUUAAGUCUGGUGUGAAAGCCCGGGGCUCAACCCCGGAAGUGCAUUGGAUACUGGCAGUCUUGAGUAUGGGAGAGGAAAGUGGAAUUCCGAGUGUAGGAGUGAAAUCCGUAGAUAUUCGGAGGAACACCAGUGGCGAAGGCGGCUUUCUGGACCAAUACUGACGCUGAGAUGCGAAAGCGUGGGGAGCAAACAGGAUUAGAUACCCGGGUAGUC
rnacentral:rRNA from 1 species